rnacentral:lncRNA from 1 species
GCGUGUUUCUGUUUUGUUAUGCCAAAUGAGAAAGCUGUCAGGGAGACUCUCAUUUAAAUCUAAUCUGACGGUCCUCCUGGUCUUUGUACGCUACCACUGCCUAGCAAUGCAGCCAGCCACAGUGCAGCUACCUCAACUUCGACAUCAGGUAGUUGAAAUGAAAUUUAAUUUAAUAAGGAGCAAGUAACUGUCAAUGAUGGUACUAUCAUCCUAGAUGAAAUUACAAAGUUGCCCUUUUAUAAUUAGCAAGAUUUGGCGAUACUAUGAAUUUUGAAGUCAUUUUGAAGCAGUACAGCUUUUCCACUGAUGAUUUUAUACUCCCCACUCAUGUUAAGAAUGUUGUUCUAGUUUUCGUUAAACGUAGAAACAAUAAUGUCAAAUGAUAAUGUCUUAGAACUUGAAUCCAUGAGCAGAGUCAAAGGCUGGAACCCUUGUUUUGGACCUGAUUUAUGGAAGUGAAGAGUUGGACCACCAUAGCAUGCAUUAUAGCUACUGGUUUUGUGACAGUUGUCCACAACACGUAUUUGUUAUUUUAAAAAAAAAAAUCAUGUUUUAUUACUGGAACAAAAAUAACUUGAGUAUUUAUGUGAGAGGAAAACCGUGUGCGAACUUGGUUGACUCAUUGAAGGCAAGGUGCUAAAAUCCAUCAGCAUUUGUUUCUUACUUAUCCUUAUACAAAUCAGCUCGGUCUUACAGACCAGCAAAAUAUCUCAAGAGCUGUUAUGUAACAGCCUCAAAUGGUUGAUUAUUAGAAUGAAGUACAGGAAUUCUAUAGGAAUAUACUAUAAUACCAGUUGUCAAACAGAGCUUAAGAAAAGGAGAGAUGAAAUCUACUGUAGUUGGAGAGAAUGUGGUUUGAGCCAGAGCAGAGACUUGGCAGAGCCAUGGGCACAUCUUCAGAAAAGGCCUGCCAGCUGGACUCCCCACCCCUCACCCCACCCCCCUUGUGAGUUCUGGUUUGUGUGGAUGAUGUCCAAGUUACCACGUGGGAAAGUGAACCAGAUCACAAACUUCUGCAAAAAGGCUUUCCCAGAGGGCUGAGAGUCUGAAGAAAGUUCACUGGACUCCAUGUCCAGAGUCUGUAGCAUGCUGACUUUUCUGUUGACGUUU